rnacentral:ribozyme from 12 species
AAUGUGUAUCGAUACAAAAAAUGACAGAAUCAGAAGAAGGCAGAAGAUUUUGUUGCUUGUUUGACAUCGUGUCGUUGUGGUUGUCGUUGCUGUUGUUCGCUAUUUUUUUCCUAUUUUUUUCUCGUUUCCUUUUUCUCAUUAUUCGCAGAAUAGU